rnacentral:rRNA from 1 species
GACGAACGCUGGCGGCGCGCUUAACACAUGCAAGUCGAGCGAGAACCAGGGCUUCGGCCCUGGGGACAGCGGCGAACGGGUGAGUAACACGUGGAUAACCUGCCCUCGGCACCGGGACAGCCCGGGGAAACCCGGAUUAAUACCGGAUGGCCCUUCCGGCUCACGAGCCGGUCGGAAAAGGUAGCUUCGGCCUCCGGCCGAGGAUGGGUCCGCGGCGGAUUAGCUUGUUGGGGGGGUAACGGCCCACCAAGGCUCCGAUCCGUAGCUGGUCUGGGAGGCCGAUCAGCCACACGGGGACUGAGACACGGCCCAGAAUCCUACGGGAGGCAGCAGUGGGGAAUCUUGAGGAAUGGGCGAAAGCGUGAUGCAGCGACGCGGCGUGAGGGAGAAAGGCCUUCGGGUUGUAAACCUCUUUCAGGGGGGACGAAGCUACUCGGGUGAAUAGCCCAGAGGGUGACGGUACCUCCAGAAGAAGCCCCGGCUAACUACGUGCCAGCAGCCGCGGUAACAC